rnacentral:rRNA from 1 species
AUACGAAAGGUGCAAGCGUUGUUCGGAUUUACUGGGCGUAAAGAGAGUGUAGGUUGUUUAUUAAGUCGGAUGUGAAAUCCCGGGGCUCAACCUCGGAACUGCAUUCGAUACUGGUAGACUAGAGUUCAGGAGGGGUAAGCGGAAUUCCGUGUGUAGCAGUGAAAUGCGUAGAUAUACGGAGGAACACCUGAGGCGAAGGCGGCUUACUGGACCGAUACUGACACUGAGACUCGAAAGCGUGGGUAGCAAACAGGAUUAGAUACCCCGGUAGUCC